GACGAACGCUGACGGUGUGCUUUAGACAUGCAAGUCGAACGAGAAAGCCCUUCGGGGUGAGUACAGUGGCGAACGGGUGAGUAACACGUGGGCAACCUGCCCCUCGCAGGGGGACAACCGUGGGAAACCGCGGCUAAUACCCCGUAAGCUCGAUAAGCCCCAUGGCUUAUCGAGGAAAGGUAGCUUCGGCCAUCCGGCGAGGGAUGGGCCCGCGGUGCAUUAGCUAGUUGGUGGGGUAACGGCCCACCAAGGCGACGAUGCAUAGCUGGUCUGAGAGGAUGAUCAGCCACACUGGGACUGAGACACGGCCCAGACUCCUACGGGAGGCAGCAGUCGGGAAUCUUGCGCAAUGGGCGAAAGCCUGACGCAGCAACACCGUGUGGGUGACGAAGGCCCUAGGGUCGUAAAGCCCUGUUGUUGGGGACGAAGGGCGAAGGGUUAAUAGCCCCUAGCCUGACGGUACCUCAUU
rnacentral:rRNA from 1 species